UGGGGGAUAUUGCACAAUGGGCGAAAGCCUGAUGCAGCGACGCCGCGUGGGGGAUGAAGGCCUUCGGGUUGUAAACUUCUUUUGCUCUGAACAAGGCGCACCAUGGGGUGUGUUGAGUGUAGGGGUUGAUUAGCGCCGGCUAACUACGUGCCAGCAGCCGCGGUAAUACGGAGGGCGCGAGCGUUGUCCGGAAUUAUUGGGCGUAAAGGGCUGGUAGGUGGCUGGUUGCGUCUGUCGUGAAAGCUCAUGGCUUAACUGUGGGUUUGCGGUGGGUACGGGCUGGCUUGAGUGCAGUAGGGGAGGCUGGAAUUCCUGGUGUAGCGGUGGAAUGCGCAGAUAUCAGGAGGAAUACCGGUGGCGAAGGCGGGUCUCUGGGCUGUUACUGACACUGAGGAGCGAAAGCAUGGGGAGCGAACAGG
rnacentral:rRNA from 1 species